GGGCAACCACAGGGAUUGCUCACCGGUGACUCAGUGGUUGACUCAAAGGCUAGAGGGUGGUUUGGGGGUGGAGGCAGAGGUCCAGUGAGCUGGGCUCCACCCUUUCUCUCCCUGCAGUCCCAACUCCAUUUUUAUCUGUGCUAUAUGUUGGAGUCUAGCCAAGAUGUCAUUUGAACAAAGAUUCUGAAAGAUCAAAGAAAAAAGUUUGAAAACCACCAGGACAAUGCUUUCAGGGGACUUUAUCCAAAAGACUGCAACAAUGUAAAGAGAUACGAUUGCUUUUAUUACUGUGAUAUGUUUAAAGUAUUAUAAAUUUUUUAAGAGCUUUGUAAGUGACAGAAGUGAAGACAUGCUCAUUUUAAUGUUACCAGUCAACUCUGAGAAGACUAAAGGUCAAGGGACAAUGAAAAUGUGACCCUUACCAACGACAGAAACUCCCAGGAAGCCACAAUUAACUCAAGACCACCAGGAUAUUUGGGGAAGUUUAUCCUUCUGGAAACCAGAAUUUCUGAUUUGUGGAAAAUUCUAUAGAUAUUCUCUGCCAGACUCCAGCCUAUUUGUGUGAGACAUCUGGGGAGGCUCCCCUUUUUUUCACCAUUUGAGGACUGAAAGUAAAUUUAGCUUCCUCAGCAGAAAGAAAAGAAGCUGUUUUGGAGGUUGGGAAGAGCUUUAGAAAAUGCGGCAUCACGUCUGUUGCCCCAUUUGAAGAAAGCAGCUCUGGAAAAGGCCUAGGACAUUAGUUGCUACAAAGUUCUAGAUCAUUCUGUGUGGUAAAGAAGUGCCUUUCACCUCCCACUGUGAUUCUGAGGCCUCCCCAGCCAUGUGGAACUAUCAGGUCUGUGUUGGUAAAUUAGACACCGUGUGGCCUUUCAACAUCCAGGAGCAAGAUGGCAGGAGAAUCAUGCCAACAACUGAGCCAAAGGUAAGAAGCCAAUAUGAUAUGCAUUUGAUUCUGUUACGGAAAUCCACAUAAAAGAAGGCUGCCCAAGUAUAAAACCAACACAGAAGAAAGCAGAGGUAAGAGAUGGAAAAAGAAAUGAGUGAACCAGUGACAGCAAGAGACUGAAGAACAUCAUUUGAUUGCCUGGAAUCAGCUAAGCCUGAAGAGAAGCCUAACCCUAAGCUUUUCAGUUACCCAAGCCAUCAAAUUCCCAUCCCCAUUUUUUUGGUUCUUAAGCAGCUUGAACCAUAGUUGUCUCACUUGCAUGCAAGAGAUCCCUGAAGAUACAUGCAGUUCCUCAGGUGAAGAUUGCCAUCAGUUAACAGAUCCUGGCACCCAUGGACCCUGGGACAGUCAUUCUGGUAGCAUCCUCUGGUAGAGAAUAACAUAGUCAAAUCUGACAGUCAGAGAGUAUCUGCCAGCCUCUGCUUAGAUAUAGCCCACUGAAAGGGAGAGAUGAUUAAUUUAGCCUUGAUUUCAAAACCUUGUCUUGUAUAUUCCAUUCAGCACUUUUUAUCUUCCUGUAUUCCCCUGGUUCCUCUCUAGCUGAAUAAAGAACAAUUUUUAAAGCAAA
ensembl:lncRNA KCNMA1-AS3 KCNMA1 antisense RNA 3